UACAGAGGGUGCAAGCGUUAAUCGGAAUUACUGGGCGUAAAGCGUGCGUAGACGGUUAUGUAAGUCAGAUGUGAAAGCCCCGGGCUUAACCUGGGAAUUGCAUUUGAUACUCUGGAGCUUGAGUGUGGGAGAGGAGAGUGGAAUUCCCAGUGUAGAGGUGAAAUUCGUAGAUAUUGGGAAGAACACCGGUGGCGAAGGCGGCUCUCUGGACCACAACUGACGCUGAGGCGCGAAAGCGUGGGGAGCUAACAGG
rnacentral:rRNA from 1 species